AACCCUGAUGCAGCUAUGCCGCGUGUAUGAAGAAGGUCUUUGGAUUGUAAAAUACUUUCAGUAGGGAAGAAGAAAAUAAAACUAAUAUUUUUAUUUUUUGACGUUACUUACAAAAGAAGCACCGGCUAACUUCGUGCCAGCAGCCGCGGUAAUACGAAGGGUGCAAGCGUUAAUCGGAAUUAUUGGGCGUAAAGGACACGUAGGUGGCUUAUUAAGUUAGUGGUGAAAUCCCUGAGCUUAACUCAGGAACUGCCUCUAAAACUAAUAAACUAGAGUAUCGUAGAAGGAGGUAGAAUUCCAAGUGUAGCGGUGAAAUGCGAAGAUAUUUGGAGGAAUACCAGAGGCGAAAGCGACCUCCUAAACGCAUACUGACACUGAGGUGUGAAAGCAUAGGUAGCAAACAGGAUUAGAUACCCUGGUAGUCUAUGCUGUAAACGAUGUCGACUAGAAGGUUGUUGCAAAAAUGACUUUCGUAGCUAACGUGAUAAGUCGACCGCCUGGGGAGUACGAUCGCAAGAUUAAAACUCAAAUGAAUUGACGGGGGCCCGCACAAGCGGUGGAGCAUGUGGUUUAAUUCGAUGCAACGCGAAAAACCUUACCUGGCCUUGACAUCACAUAGAAUUUGACAGAAAUGUUAAAGUGCUUUGAAAAAAGAACUAUGAGACAGGUGCUGCAUGGCUGUCGUCAGCUCGUGUUGUGAAAUGUAGGAUUAAGUUCCGUAACGAGCGCAACCCUUAUCCUUAGUUACCAUCAGACUGUAAAGUGCUGGGCACUCUAAGGAAACUGCCGGGUCAAAUCCGGAGGAAGGUGAGGACGACGUCAAGUCAUCAUGGCCCUUAUGGCCAGGGCUACACACGUGCUACAAUGGUGUAUACAAAGAGUUAGCAAUUAUCGCAAGAAUGAGCAAAUCUCAAAAAGUACACCGUAGUCCAGAUUGGAGUCUGCAACUCGACUCCAUGAAGAAGGAAUCGCUAGUAAUUGUGGAUCAGCAUGCCACGGUGAAUAUGUUCUCGGGCCUUGUACACACCGCCCGUCACACCAUGGAAGUGAAUGGUAAAAGAAGUAAGUUUAUCUAACCUACCGUAAGGCA
rnacentral:rRNA from 1 species